rnacentral:rRNA from 1 species
GAUCCUGGCUCAGGAUGAACGCUAGCGGUAUGCUUAACACAUGCAAGUCGUACGAGAGUUUUAAUUCAAGUGGCGGACGGGUGAGUAACACGUGAGAAUUUACCUUUAGGAGGGGAUAACAAUUGGAAACGAUUGCUAAUACCCCAUAUGCUUUCAAGUGAAAUGGAGUUUUCCGCCUAAAGAAAAGCUCGCGGCUGAUUAGCUUGUUGGUAAGGUAAUGGCUUACCAAGGCGACGAUCAGUAUCUGGUUUGAGAGGACGAUCAGACACACUGGAACUGAGACACGGUCCAGACUCCUACGGGAGGCAGCAGUGGGGAAUUUUCCGCAAUGGGCGAAAGCCUGACGGAGCAAUACCGCGUGAGGGAAGAAGGCCUAUGGGUUGUAAACCUCUUUUUUCAGGGAGGAACAAAAUGACGUGUACCUGAAGAAUAAGCAUCGGCUAACUCCGUGCCAGCCGCGGC